rnacentral:rRNA from 1 species
CCUACGGGAGGCAGCAGUGAGGAAUAUUGGUCAAUGGUCGGGAGCCUGAACCAGCCAAGCCGCGUGAGGGAGGAAGGUCCUGAGGAUUGUAAACCUCUUUUGUCAGGGAACAAAGUACGCCACGCGUUGCCGUCCGAGUGUACCCGAAGAAAAAGCAUCGGCUAACUCCGUGCCAGCAGCCGCGGUAAUACGGGGGAUGCGAGCGUUAUCCGGAUUUAUUGGGUGUAAAGGGUGCGCAGGCGGGAUAUAAAGUCAGCGGUAAAAGUUCGGGGCUCAACCUCGUCGAGCCGUUGAAACUGAGGAUCUGGAGUGGGCGAGAAGGAUGCGGAAUGCGCGGUGUAGCGGUGAAAUGAAUAGAUAUCGCGCAGAACUCCGAUUGCGAAGGCAGCAUGCCGGCUCCAGACUGACGCUGAAGCACGAAAGCGUGGGUAUCGAACAGGAUUAGAUACCCGUGUAGUC